rnacentral:rRNA from 1 species
UGCAAGUGUUCUCAGGAAUCACUGGGCGUAAAGCGUCUGUAGGUGGUUUAAAAAGUCCACUGUUAAAAAUUGAAGCUUAACUUCAAAGAUGCCGUGGAAACUUUUAAACUUGAGUAUGGUAGGGGUAGAGGGAAUUUCCAGUGGAGCGGUGAAAUGCGUAGAUAUUGGAAAGACCACCAAUGGCGAAGGCACUCUACUGGGCCAUUACUGACACUGAGAGACGAAAGCUAGGGGAGCAAAUGGG